rnacentral:rRNA from 1 species
GACGAACGCUGGCGGCGUGCUUAACACAUGCGAGUCGAGCGGAAAGGCCACUUCGGUGGUACUCGAGCGGCGAACGGGUGAGUAACACGUGAGUAAUCUGCCCCUGGCUUUGGGAUAGCCACCGGAAACGGUGAUUAAUACCGGAUAUGACCACUUCACGCAUGUGUUGUGGUGGAAAGUUUUUCGGCCAGGGAUGUGCUCGCGGCCUAUCAGCUUGAUGGUGAGGUAAUGGCUCACCAUGGCUUCGACGGGUAGCCGGCCUGAGAGGGUGACCGGUCACACUGGGACUGAGACACGGCCCAGACUCCUACGGGAGGCAGCAGUGGGGAAUAUUGGACAAUGGGCGGAAGCCUGAUCCAGCAACGCCGCGUGAGGGAUGACGGCCUUCGGGUUGUAAACCUCUUUCAGUACCGACGAAGCGCAAGUGACGGUAGGUACAGAAGAAGCACCGGCCAACUACGUGCCAGCCGCCGCCGUAAAAC